UGUCUUAUUUGUAAAACUUAUAAUUUUUAAGACUUGACAUUGUUUUGAAAGAAAGCUCGUAUAAGUAUGAAAAUGUUUGUAGUUCAACUGUAAAUGUUUGAAAACCCUAGAAAUCCCUAUGAUUUCCUAUUAGUAACAAAAGGAGUCUUCUACCAAGACUUAACUAUUCUCAUUGUAAUCUUCUACCAAGACCUAACUGUGUUACUAUUAUUAUCAUUAUAAGAAAUUGUAUCCUUUGGUACUAGGAUACCUAAAUAUAAUUCACCUCAUUGGUUAUGUGAAUGAGUCACAAAAUAAAGGUAAUAAUAUAACUAACCUGAAUAUUACCCUUUGGUACUAGGNUUACGGCCGUAAACUCCCUUGGGAGGGUUCUUAUUGUCCUUUCAAGUCUCUAACAUUUCUAGGAACAAGUCUAGGCUUCAAUACUUGGAUCAAGGGAGGUUUAUGGCAUUAAAUGGAACCAUUUGAUGGAGUUUACGGCCAUAGAACUCUUUGGGCCGUAAACUCCCUCACACAUGAGGUUCUAAGAAUUUUAACUAGCCCAAAACUCAUCUAGGUACUUGCCCUAAAAGUCUCUUGGCCUAAGGAAGUGUCUAGGGUGUCCUUUGACCCCUUUAAAGGAGUUUACGGCCCAAGAAAUACUCUUGGCCGUAAACUCUUCAACACUUGAGCUUUUCAUGAUUUUUCUAGGUCCUAAACACAUUAAGGUACUAGCCAAAAAUGAAGACUAAGCCUUAGGAAGAGUUUGAAGUGGUUUUGGCACUUAAUCUUGGAGUUUACGGCCUAAGGAGCAUCUUGGCCGUAAACUCCCUUCCAAAGUUGGUUUCUAAUUGUUUUGUGGGUCUAAAUCAUGAGUUUAAGGCUUCUAGGUUCUUGUUCUAAGGCUAAAGGAACACUAGGCACUCAUUUGUGCCCUUUACUUGGAGUUUACGGCCCAAGAGGUUGUUCCUUGGCCGUAAACUCCUCAAACUACUUGCUUUUGAUUUGUUUCUAGCCUCUAAUGAUCAUACACUAAGUCCUUAGUUAGAUGCCUAACACGGAAAUGGGACUAGGUGGCCUUUAGGCUUGAUUUUGGAGUUUACUCCCCAAGAACGUUCUUGGGCGGUAAACUCCCGGAUCUUGUGUUUUGGACAUGUAAACAAUGUUAUAAAGCAUAUAACAAGUAUUAAAACACAUUUAGGGAAGUAGACUCACAAUCUGGGAUGAAAACCCGAAGAUCCGUGAGAGAGUAUUUGGCUUUUCUCUAAAUGGAAAUCAAAUAAUGAACCAAUUUGGUUCAGAAUUCUAUUUAUAGUCCAGAGAUUUUUGGCAGAAAAUAUUUCUAUUCUCGGAAUGGAUUCUAAUGACCUAGAGUAAUGGAAUUACAGUGUUGCACAAAAUCCUAGUGCACCCACUCUCCUAAUAACUCCUUAGGUGUAAAACCCUAAAACUGCCAAACUUAUUCCAAAAGUUUGAAUUUUCACUGAAACUGCUCUACUUCCAUUGGAUUGAUGUGGUUUGAUUUGAAUGGAAAAUUUCGGGUUGUCACAGUUAAGGGGUAUGAACUCACCUGCAGUAUGUGACUGGAAUUGAACGGGCUGUUAUCGUACGGAAGGAUCAGACAAGUGCUUGGUGUCAAGUGAAGACUUAGACACACACAAUGAUCCUAAUUACAUAUGAAACAUAUGUAUAUAAAUAAUUAGUGAUUAUAACACUAAUUAUACAAGUAAUAACAUUUAAGCGCGAGGACAACACUUUUGGUCAAGUGCUAGGAGGCUAAUGGGUUGCAACAAAGAAGUGCAAUGCCCCUAAUGGAAGUUUAAGGUCAAAAGACCAUAUUCAUUGGAGUUUACGGCCCAGGGAAGUAAGCUCCUGGCCGUAAACUCUCAACCAAGCCAUGAAAUGGUGCAUAUAAUUUCUACAACUCUAGAGGGGAAUUGAUUCAAGGCUAUACAAGAGUUUAAGGUACCAUAUUGACUCCUAAGGGGAGUUUACGGCCCAAAGACCCUUUUCCCUUGGAGUUUACGGCCGUAAACUCCCUUGGGAGGGUUCUUAUUGUCCUUUCAAGUCCCUAACAUUUCUAGCAACAAGUCUAGGCUUCAACACUUGGCUUAAGGAAGGUUUAUGGCAUUAAAUGGAACCAUUUGAUGGAGUUUACGGCCAUAGAACUCUUUGGGCCGUAAACUCCCUCACACAUGAGGUUCUAGGAAUUUUAACUAGUCCAAAACUCAUCUAGGUACUUGCCCUAAAAGUCUCUUGGCCUAAGGAAGUGUCUAGGGUGUCCUUUGACCCCUUAAUAGGAGUUUACGGCCCAAGAAAUACUCUUGGCCGUAAACUCUUCAAUACUUGUGCUUUUCAUGAGUUUCCUAGGUCCUAAACACUUUAAGGUAUUUGCCUAAAAUGAAGACUAAGCCUUAGGAAGAGUUUGAAGGGGUUUUGGCACUUAAUCUUGGAGUUUACGGCCAAAGGAGCAUCUUGGCCGUAAACUCCCUUCCGAAGUUGGUUUCUAAUUGUUUUGUUGGCCU
rnacentral:lncRNA from 1 species